rnacentral:rRNA from 1 species
CCUACGGGGGGCAGCAGUGGGGAAUAUUGCACAAUGGGCGCAAGCCUGAUGCAGCCAUGCCGCGUGUGUGAAGAAGGCCUUCGGGUUGUAAAGCACUUUCAGCGGGGAGGAAGGCGGUGAGGUUAAUAGCCUCAUCGAUUGACGUUACCCGCAGAAGAAGCACCGGCUAACUCCGUGCCAGCAGCCGCGGUAAUACGGAGGGUGCAAGCGUUAAUCGGAAUUACUGGGCGUAAAGCGCACGCAGGCGGUCUGUCAAGUCGGAUGUGAAAUCCCCGGGCUCAACCUGGGAACUGCAUUCGAAACUGGCAGGCUAGAGUCUUGUAGAGGGGGGUAGAAUUCCAGGUGUAGCGGUGAAAUGCGUAGAGAUCUGGAGGAAUACCGGUGGCGAAGGCGGCCCCCUGGACAAAGACUGACGCUCAGGUGCGAAAGCGUGGGGAGCAAACAGGAUUAGAUACCCCAGUAGUC